CGAUCCCAGGUCAUGCGGGAUUACCAGCUGAUUUUAAGCAUAUCAAUAAGCGGAGGAGAAGAAACUAACAAGGAUUCCCUUAGUAACGGCGAGCAAACCGGGAAGAGCCCAGCUUGAAAAUCGGACGUCUUUGGCGUUCGAAUUGUAGUCUGGAGAAGCGUCCUCGGCGACGGACCGGGCCCAAGUUCGCUGGAAAGGGGCGCCAGAGAGGGUGAGAGUCCCGUCGUGUCCGGACCCUGUCGCACCACGAGGCGCUGUCUACGAGUCGGGUUGUUUGGGAAUGCAGCCCCAAUCGGGCGGUAAAUUCCGUCCAAGGCUAAAUAUGGGCGAGAGACCGAUAGCGAACAAGUACCGCGAGGUAAAGAUGAAAAGGACUUUAAAAAGAGAGUCAAAGAGUGCUUGAAAUUGUCGGGAGGGAAGCGGAUGGGGGCCGGCGAUUCAUCCCGGUCGGAUGCAGAACGGAGCAAUCCGGUCUGCCGAUCGAUUCGGGCCGUGGACCGAUGCGGAUUAAGGUGGUGACCUAAGCCCGGGCUUUUGUUACGCCCGCAGAGACGUCACUGCCUUAAUAGUGGUCUGCAGCACGUGCCUCACGGCGUGCCUCGGCAUCUGCGUGCUCAGGGCGUCGGCCUGUGGGCUCCCCAUUCGACCCGUCUUGAAACACGGACCAAGGAGUCUGACAUGUGUGCGAGUCAAUGGGUGAGUAAACCCGUAAGGCGCAAUGAAUCUGAUUGGCUGGAUCCCUCACGGGUGCACAGCCGACCAAACUUGAUCUUCUGAGAAGGGUUCGAGUGUGAGCAUGCCUGUCGGGACCCGAGAGAUGGUGAACUAUGCCUGAGUGGGGCGAAGCCUGAGGAAACUCUGGUGGAGGCCCGCAGCGAUACUGACGUGCAAAUCGUUCGUCUGAAAUGGGUAUAGGGGCGAAAGACUAAUCGAACCAUCUAGUAGCUGGUUCCCUCUGAAGUUUCCCUCAGGAUAGCUGGAGCUUGGAAAUGAGUUCUAUCGGGUAAAACCAAAGAUUAGAGGCAUCGGGGACGCAAUGUCCUCGACCUAUUAUCAAACUUUAAAUAGGAAGGACGGGGUGGCUGCUUCGUUGAGCCAUCCCACAGAAUCGAGAGCUCCAAGUGGGCCAUUUUUGGUAAGAAGAACUGGCGAUGCGGGAUGAACCGGAAGCCGGGUUACGGUGCCCAACUGUGCGCUAACCUAGAACCCACAAAGGGUGUUGGUCGAUUAAGACAGCAGGACGGUGGUCAUGGAAGUCGAAAUCCGCUAAGGAGUGUGUAACAAUUCACCUGCCGAAUCAACUAGCCCCAAAAAUGGAUGGCGCUGAAGCGCGAGACCUAUACCUGGCCGUCGGGGCAAGGGCCAGGCCUCGAUGAGUAGGAGGGUGCGGCGGUC
rnacentral:ncRNA from 1 species